rfam:Dipodomys ordii contig_23248, whole genome shotgun sequence.
GGGAAUGUGGCUUAGUGGUAGAGUGCUUGCCUACCAUGCACGAAGCCCUAGGUUCGAUUCCUCAGUACCA